rnacentral:rRNA from 1 species
UACGUAGGGCGCGAGCGUUAAUCGGAAUUACUGGGCGUAAAGCGUGCGUAGGCGGUUAUGCAAGUCAGAUGUGAAAUCCCCGGGCUUAACCUGGGAAUGGCAUUUGGGACUGCAAGGCUGGAGUGUGGCAGAGGAGACUGGAAUUCCUGGUGUAGCAGUGAAAUGCGUAGAUAUCAGGAGGAAUACCGAUGGCGAAGGCAGGUCUCUGGGCUGACACUGACGCUCAUGCACGAAAGCGUGGGGAGCAAACAGG